CGGCGAUCAACUAUCUGCAUAAAGGUAAUGUGUUCUGAACACAUAAUGGUAAAUUAUUUACUGUUCAAAUUUGAAUUUCAAAUUUAAAUGUAUGCAUGCUAUAUAUCAUAUUUAGAUCCUAGUAUAGGAUAAAUAUAUGUUAAUUAAUUAGAUUAAUUAAUAAUUUUUACUGUAAAAUAAUGAUUUUGAAAAAGUUUUAAAAUUAUCAUUUUACCCCUACACUAAAAAUUCACUUCAGAUAGGACGUAAGCCAGUACUCUCUCACAUUAGAGUUUGGGGAUAUCCGGCUUAUGUCAAAUAUUUGAAAACUGACAAGCUUGGACC
rnacentral:lncRNA from 1 species